GACGGGGGAUGCAAGCGCUAUCCGGAAUCACUGGGCGUAAAGCGUCUGUAGGUGGUGAUGCAAGUCACUGGUGCAAAACUCUGGCUCAACCGGAGGAAAGCCAGUGAAACUGCAUGACUAGAGUGUGGGAGAGGUAGAAGGAAUUCCCUGAGUAGCGGUGAAAUGCGUAGAUACAGGGAAGAACACCGGAGGCGAAAGCGUUCUACUGGAACACAGCUGACACUGAGAGACGAAAGCUAGGGGAGCUAAUGGG
rnacentral:rRNA from 1 species